ACUCAAUAGAUACCCAGGUAGUCCACGCCCUAAACGAUGAGAGCUAGACGUUGGGAUUUAUCUCAGUGUCGCAGUUAAACACGAUAAGCUCUCCGCCUGGGAAGUACUGUCGCAAGACUAAAACUCAAAGGAAUUGACGGGGACCCGCACAAGCGGUGGAACAUGUGGUUUAAUUCGAAGGUACGCGAAAAACCUUACCAGCCCUUGACAUGAUUAAUCGCCGGCUUGAGAAAUCAGGCCUUCAUUUAGUUGGAUUUUUCACAGGUGCUGCAUGGCCGUCGUCAGCUCGUGUCGUGAGAUGUUCGGUUAAGUCCGAUAACGAGCGCAACCCUCAUCCCUAGUUGCUAACAGGUAAAGCUGAGUUCUUUAGGGAAACUGACGGUGAUAAAAACCGUAGAAGGUGGGGACGAAGUCAGGUACGCAUGGCCCUUAUGGGCUGGGCUACACAUGUGUUACAAUGGGAACUACAAAAAGAAGCAAGUGGGCGACCAUGAGCCAAUCUACAAAAGUUCUCUUAGUUCGGAUCGGUCUCUGAAACUCGGGACCGUGAAGUU
rnacentral:rRNA from 1 species